rnacentral:rRNA from 1 species
UGGGGAAUAUUGCACAAUGGAGGGAACUCUGCUGCAGCGACGCCGCGUGCGUGAUGAAGGAAUUCGUUUCGUAAAACUCUGUUCUAUGGGAAGAAAAGGACUGUACCAUAGGAGAAAGCUCCGGCUAAAUACGUGCCAGCAGCCGCGGUAAUACGUAUGGAGCGAGCGUUGUCCGGAAUUAUUGGGCGUAAAGGGUGCGCAGGCGGCUUUACAACUUGGAUGUGAAAUAUUGUGGCUCAACCACAAACGUGCAUCCAAAACUGCAAAGCUGAAGUUAAGGAGGGGGAAGUAGAAUUCCUGUUGUAGCGAUGAAAUGCGUAGAUAUCAGGAGGAAUACCGGUGGCGAAGGCGACUUACUGGACUUAAACUGACGUACAGGCACGAAAGCGUGGGGAGCAAACAGG